rnacentral:ncRNA from 1 species
ACAGCUCACCGCGUGAACGGUUCCCCGCGAGGGGAUCAAAAGGGAAGACCGGUGUGGGGCAACCCAAGGCCGGCGCUGCCCCCGCAACUGUGACCGGAUAGCCGGCACUCCAUCAUGCCACUGGGCCGUCGGGCCUGGGAAGGCGGAGUGUCGGCGGUGACCCGGGAGCCAGGAGACCUGCCGUCCACGGUCGAUCCAUU